UUAGACAAUACGUUGUAUUUGGUACUCAC
rnacentral:piRNA from 1 species